UCAGUCAGUUCCUCUUCUCCUUUGGAGAAAUGGGAGGAAGUGAAUCUUCACCCUGAAGGUGCCCUGAAUGACAGCAGGAAGAGACGAUACGAAAAUAAGUGCACCUCACACCACUCCUCCAGUGAAUUAAUAUGGUCAGCAGAGUUUAAAACAAAUCCAUCUGUGAAAAACUCAUUUGAAGUCAAUAGCAUUGAUGACGAGGACCACAUAUCAGCACUAAAGGACCCAGUACCCCGACAAGUGCGGCCCAGUCUCCGUCACCUCUCGGGCAGACAUCAUUCCCAGGAGGAGGAGUUUGUAAGGGCAAAGGCUGCUGUAGAG